ensembl:lncRNA
AUUUUUUUCUUUAUUUUUUCUUUAUUUUUUAUUUUUUCUUUAUUUUUCUUUUAUUUUUUUUCUUUAUUUUUUCUUUAUUUUUUUCUUUAUUUUGCUUUAUUUUACGCUUGGCCGUGCCCCCCCCCCCCCCAAGGGCUGAGCCCAGACCGGUUGGCCUGGCUGUUCCCUUAGGAAGGAGGGGAAGGCUCCAAGCGGGGUGGGGUUUUUUUGUUGUUUAUUUUUAUUUUAUUUUAUUUUUUUUUGCCCGGAGGGCACAUUGGCAGGGGAUCAAUGGGGAAAAAGCAGGAGAAAAACCCAGCGAGGGAGGCGCUGCGGCGCCAGGCGAGAGCCGGUGCCUGGAGGUGCCUCCAGAACGAGCUGGAAAACGCCGUUUUUUCACAGCAAUCCCGGGCCAGCUGCUCCCCAAAUACCUGCAUCUACCACCUGGGGAGCUGCUUAACUGCUGUAAUAAAAGAAGUUUUCCCCUUUCUCCUCGUUUGCGGCUGCUUUAAAACACCACCUUCCUCCACAUCUGCACGGUCGCGCAGAAGACACGGUUUUUAACCCAGCUUGAAAAGGCGGCUGGGACAAAUGCCGUGAGCGCUUAUAGGGCAAAUGCAAGGAAGGGGGGUGUUUCCGGGCACGGGGGGAGCCCCGGCGCCCCGCACCCGGGGGCUGUGGGGCGCCCUCAGGGCCCGAUGUCCCCUCAGGGCCCGGUGUCCCCUCAGGGCGCCGCGUCCCCUCACAGCCCAGGGCCGCCCCUCCCCCCCCCGCCCCAGCAGCCGAGUGUUGCCGAAGCCUUUGCGGAAGUUCCCGAAGCCGCGCCGCCGCCGCGGCCGAGAGGCUCCGAAAAGGCCCGAGCGCCUCCCGACGGGGCGGGCGUCCCUCUCCCGAGCCUUUCCGAAGUUUCCCGAGCGCCCUCCCGCCGCCGGUCUCCGGAGCGAGCCGAAGUUUCCCGAGCGCCCGCCGGGGGUCACGGGAGGCGCCGGGUGGGGGCCGAGCGAGGGGGGGGGGCGGGGCGGAGGGAGCGUGCGCCCGCGAAGGUCUCCGGAAGGAGCCGAAGUUUCCCGAGAGCGGGUCGCCGGCGAGCAGCUCCGGAAAGAGCCGAAGGUUGCCGAGCGCCGGUGGGCCGAGCGGCUCCGGAGCGGCCCGAAGGCGCCCGAGCGUCCGUCCUGCCGGACUGCUGGAGGCGGCCGCAGCGCCAUGUUUGAUGCUCCGCUACUUCAGUGGAAUGCUGUGCUGAGCGGCUUUCUCUGCAAGGCCCUGCGUGGUGGGGAGGAGGAGGAGGAGGGUUUCCACUGGAAACCCCACCACCAAAAAAUCGCCGCGGCUACAAAGAGAGGCCGGGGUUGCUGUGAAAUGUUUUUAAAGGUCUCCGGCUCUCUGCGACUAGGCCCCAAGUCAGGAGGUAAAUACUGCAGGGCUCAGCAGGAAAGUGAGGCGGCGAGCGAGCGAGCGUGCAUGUGUGUAUGUGUUUUGUUUCCAGUGUUGGACAGCAUCCCCUGACAAAUGGACUUUUCCGCCCUGGAAGUUUUGGGGAGAACGUGAAGUGAAAAAUGUCCUAAGUGCAAUAUUGCACGGCUGCGUGAACCUGGAGCGGUGUCUUACACAGUAGGUCUGCUGCGCCGGGGGCAGUCAGGAGUGCGUGUUUU